AUACGUAGGGGGCAAGCGUUGUCCGGAAUUACUGGGCGUAAAGCGCACGCAGGCUGACUUAUAAGUCGGUAGUCUAAUGCGGAGGCUCAACUUCCGUUUAUCUAUCGAUACUGUAAGACUAGAGUAUGUGAGAGGGAAGUGGAAUUCCCGGUGUAGCGGUGAAAUGCGUAGAUAUCGGGAGGAACCCCAGUGGCGAAGGCGCUUUCCUGGCACAAUACGGACGCUAAUGUACGAAAGCAAGGGUAGCGAACUGGAUGAGAUACCCCGGGAGUCCGAGCCGUAAACGAUGGAUACUAGGUGUGGGUGUCGCAGGGCAUCCGUGCCGCAGCUAACGCGUUAAGUAUCCCGCCUGGGGACUACGGUCGCAAGACUGAAACUCAAAUGAAUUGACGGGG
rnacentral:rRNA from 1 species